GAAAGAUUCAUCGGAAGAGGAUGGGCAUGCGGCGCAUUAGCUAGACGGCGGGGUAACGGCCCACCGUGGCGACGAUGCGUAGGGGUUCUGAGAGGAAGGUCCCCCACACUGGUACUGAGACACGGACCAGACUCCUACGGGAGGCAGCAGUGAGGAAUAUUGGUCAAUGGGAGAGAUCCUGAACCAGCCAAGCCGCGUGAGGGAAGACGGCCCUAUGGGUUGUAAACCUCUUUUGUCGGAGAACAAAACCCGGGACGUGUCCCGGACUGCGUGUAUCCGAAGAAAAAGCAUCGGCUAACUCCGUGCCAGCAGCCGCGGUAAUACGGAGGAUGCGAGCGUUAUCCGGAUUUAUUGGGUUUAAAGGGUGCGUAGGCGGUCCGUUAAGUCAGCGGUAAAAUUGCGGGACUCAACCCCGUCGAGCCGUUGAAACUGGCAGACUUGAGUUGGCGAGAAGUACGCGGAAUGCGCGGUGUAGCGGUGAAAUGCAUAGAUAUCGCGCAGAACUCCGAUUGCGAAGGCAGCGUACCGGCGCCAGACUGACGCUGAGGCACGAAAGCGUGGGGAUCGAACAGGAUUAGAUACCCUGGUAGUCCACGCAGUAAACGAUGAAUGCUGGUUGUCCGGGUCGAAUGAGACCUGG
rnacentral:rRNA from 1 species